AGCCGAUUGGACAAGCAUGCCGCCCGCCAACCAAUCAAACCAAUGCACCACUACAGACCAGUCUCUACGUUACGGACGUAGCCACGCAAAGCAUACAACGAUUGUGGCAAUUUAGCUUGUUUCAAACGCUAGGUUAUGAUGAUGACAACCCCAUUCAUACUCCAAGGACUGACAGUGAGAAGAAGAAAUGCAACAUAAUUGUCCUCAGGAGGGAUUGAGCUUCUCUGCAAACUGCCCUAUCAAACUUAAGGCCCUCCAUCCUGCAGUAAGCCUCCAAUGAUGAGCCUACCCUCAUGCCUGAUGAACUUGUACUUCAGAGCAAUGAGACCUCCGGUUUUCUGCCUUGGUGUUUACUCUGAGGCUGCCAGAGGAGGAAAGAGAGGGGAUCCAUUUGUCCCAAGACGCCGGCCAUCUCACUCAACACAUGCACCAUGCGUCCAGUCAGAUGUGCAGGCGGGCAGGACACUUUCAGAAAAAAGGGUCAAACCGCUAUCAGCUAUGUGACCCAGCUGGAGGGCCCCCCUGAGCCACAGUCACUGCCCCGUCCACUUCAAGCUGCUGCCGUCGGAUUAUCGGCUGCUGGGUUACACGUCAGUCGACUGGAGCCGCAUCUGUGAAAGAGAAAAGUCAAGGGGGACAUGGGAACUAACAGAGAGCAACUGGUCAUUUACGAGGCAUGCGAGAGGCCCAUGUCGCAUGCCCUUUUUUGGGGAAUGGCAUUAUGGCGUUUAACCAAACCUUUCCAAAUGAACUGCAUUUAUUAAUGUCACAACUAAUCCUAUCUCAAAUUCCUAAAGAACAGUAGAGUAUUAUUUGGCAAUUCAAUGCAGUGCAUUUCAAACUUUGAUAAGUUCAAUGCAAAAGUCAAAUAGAGGUGAUUCUGUUUUUAUCUCUUCAGAUCAACUGUACCAACGUCCCAAAUGCUACAUACAAGAAACUACUGUAGGUAUUCAACUCCUGCGCUUGGAAAAGUAAAGAGAGGCGCUUCCUCCCCCUGCGGAGGGGCCUCCUAGCUGCAUAGAGUAUCAAGGUGGGUGAAAGAGGAGAAAGCGGAGUAGAGGCAGCUGUAGCUCAGGUGGUAUAUUGAGUUUGCCAUUUUGCUUUGACAACUUGCUUUUUUAUUCUGCAUGCAUCUUUGAGCAAGAAGCUAAACCACAAAUUGCUCCAGAUUAGUAUGUAUGUAAAAGUUGUAAUUCAGUUUGGAUUAAAGCUUAAAGAAUGUAAUGUAAAAUGUACAACAGUGUGGUCAGGCUGUGUUUAAAUAUAUACAUACAGUAAAAUACAAACUGGUAGAUUUCCUUUAUUGUUGUUGAAUUAUGCUCCUAUUUUGUUGAACCCCAAAUGAACCCGGCAGCUAUUUAAUCAACCAUUUCCCUGACUGUUUAUAGUACAUCCAAAUAAUCAUUGUGAGUCUUAAGAAGAGGAGCGCUUUCAGUCCAUUACUGCCGCUCAUCUGUCAUCAGGCAUUAAUGAAGGGUCUUGGCCUUACCACCUGUUCUGCAUACUUUAGUGCCACGCAGAUGUUUUUGUAGCUGCAGGGGAUGCUGCUCAGAGGCCAGCGGUUGUUGUCCUCUGUGGUAAGUGCUGUUUGCCCUGCCACUAAUGAUAAUAUACAGUAGACCAUCUCUGUUUCUUGUUUAAGAGUAUGCACACCUGAAUCUGUCCUCACCAGGAGACCCAGAUGCAUGGCAACAAAAAAAAAACUUUUACUUUGCCUUUAUAAACAGUAGGGGCGUAGAAAGAUAUAGCAUGGCAACUGAUGUUUCUCUAGAGGAUAUUCUGUCUCUUUUUCAACAGCCAAGGAUGCUGUGAUUCUGGUUUGGUUUGUUGGUUGGUUUGUUUGUGUUUUUUUCAGCAGCAUUAUGGAAAACUAGCGCCUAUAUUUAACUUGGUACAAGGGUGGAUCAUGGACCAAGGAAUCCUUAUAAACCAUUGUAUUAUUUUUUCCUGACAGGGCAUGGCCUUGAAUAAGCAAUCUCUUAACUUCCAUUCUGUAUAUUAAUAUUUUUGUU